GAUCAUGGCUCAGGAUGAACGCUAGCUACAGGCUUAACACAUGCAAGUCGAGGGGCAUCAGGAAGAAAGCUUGCUUUCUUUGCUGGCGACCGGCGCACGGGUGAGUAACACGUAUCCAACCUACCCUUUACUCGGGGAUAGCCUUUCGAAAGAAAGAUUAAUACCCGAUGGCAUAAUGAUUCCGCAUGGUUUCAUUAUUAAAGGAUUCCGGUAAAGGAUGGGGAUGCGUUCCAUUAGGUUGUUGGUGAGGGUAACGG
rnacentral:rRNA from 1 species